rnacentral:rRNA from 1 species
GAUGAACGCUGGCGGCGUGCCUAAUACAUGCAAGUCGAGCGAAUGGAUUAAGAGCUUGCUCUUAUGAAGUUAGCGGCGGACGGGUGAGUAACACGUGGGUAACCUGCCCAUAAGACUGGGAUAACUCCGGGAAACCGGGGCUAAUACCGGAUAACAUUUUGAACCGCAUGGUUCGAAAUUGAAAGGCGGCUUCGGCUGUCACUUAUGGAUGGACCCGCGUCGCAUUAGCUAGUUGGUGAGGUAACGGCUCACCAAGGCAACGAUGCGUAGCCGACCUGAGAGGGUGAUCUGCCACACUGGGACGGAGACACGGCCCAGACUCCUACGGGAGGCAGCAGUAGGGAAUCUUCCGCAAUGGACGAAAGUCUGACGGAGCAACGCCGCGUGAGUGAUGAAGGCUUUCGGGUCGUAAAACUCUGUUAUUAGGGAAGAACAAGUGCUAGUUGAAUAAGCUGGCACCUUGACGGUACCUAACCAGAAAGCCACGGCUAACUACGUGCCAGCCGCCGCAGUAA